rnacentral:lncRNA from 1 species
GUUUAUUAUCUCACAUAACAAAAAGGGUGAAGGGACGAUGGUCCAUUUAGUAGUCUGCCUCCUCAAGGACCCAGGCUUCUUCUAGUUUCCCUGAUAGCCCUCAGUUAACUCCUCUCAUGGUUCCAAGCUGUCUGCCACAGUUCCAGUCAUUACUUGCAUCAGAAUAGAGACUGUUUCUUCCACGUGUGUCUCUUCUUUUCUUUUCUUCCUUUUUUUAAAAUUUUUUUAUAGAGACAGGAUCUCGCUCUGUUGCCCAGGCUGAAGUGCAGUGGUGCAAUCAUAGCUCACUGCAGCCUCAAACUCCUGGGCUCAAGCAAUCCUCCCAUUUCAGCCUCCUGAGUAGCUGGGACUACAGGUGUGCACUACCGUGCCCAGCUAAUGUUUGUUUGUUUGUUUGCUUGUUUAUUGCAGCCUUGGUAUGUUGCUCGAACUGGCCUUGAGCUCUUGGACUCAGGUGACCCUCCCUCCUGGGCCUCCCAAGGGCUCGGAUUACAGGCAUGAGUCUCCACACCCUGCGUCUCUUCUUUUCAAUGAGAAAAAUCUUCCCAGAUGCCCCACAGUAGAAGUUUCAAUGUCUCAUAGCCAGAAUUGUUACAUAAUCCUUUGCCUAACUACAUCACUGACAAGGGAACGGGGCAUGAAGACCAGUUUAGAAUAAUCAGUAUGUGCUUCUGAGUCAUGCAGGAGAGGACCAUUUGCCCUGAGCAAGUGACUGUACAGAAAGAACGAGAACACCUGAAAUCAGGGGAACCAACGGUAUCUGCAACAUACUACAAAGCAGGUGUACAAAACAUGAACGUUCUUCUUUGUCCGUAAAUAUCUUGCUCAUGUGCCCUUGUCCCACUGAUGUCAGGGGUGGAAAAAUCCUAACUUCCAGUUAAGGUAACUUGGUUACUUCUAGUUCAAAACAGUCUCUCUAGUGCUGGUUCAAUUUCUUUUGGAUAAAUAUUCAAUCCAAUUCAAGGUUCAAAUUCUCUACCAGGGCCAUCUCUCUCUUGUCAAGGGUUGGUUCCUCAUUCUCUGUCUCAAGAUGGUAUGGCAUCCAGGUCCUCAGAAAAGCCUACACUUCCUCCUAAUGAUGGGGCAGGGGCCCACAUAUGUCCCACUGUGCUGUCUCCUGGACCUUCAGUAUUCUCUGCAGAAAUGUCCUUUGUCCUGCCCGAUCACUGAGACUUCUGCUGGCCCCAGCUGCAUGACCUUAUGAAGCACCUUCGUUGUCUGGGGUAAAUGCCUGAGGUUCGUCGUCUUACGCCAAGGAAAUCGAGGACGAGGACACGCAAGAAGUGAGUUUAAGAGAAGAGGUUUAACAGAGAGAAAGGGAAAAGCUCUCUCUUCUGCGGAGAGAGGGGACACCUAAGUGGGUCUUUGGGUUUUGCGGUGAAAUGCAUGUGC